rnacentral:rRNA from 1 species
AACGAACGCUGGCGGCAGGCCUAACACAUGCAAGUCGAACGCUCGUAGCAAUACGGGAGUGGCGCACGGGUGAGUAACGCGUGGGCACCUGCCCGGUGGUUUGGGAUAACCGUGGGAAACUGCGGCUAAUACCGGAUACGCCCCUAGGGGGAAAGAUUUAUCGCCAUCGGAUGGGCCCGCGUAGGAUUAGCUAGUUGGUGAGGUAACGGCUCACCAAGGCGACGAUCCUUAGCUGGUCUGAGAGGAUGAUCAGCCACACUGGGACUGAGACACGGCCCAGACUCCUACGGGAGGCAGCAGUGGGGAAUAUUGGACAAUGGGGGCAACCCUGAUCCAGCCAUGCCGCGUGAGUGAAGAAGGCCUUCGGGUUGUAAAGCUCUUUUGGCGGGGACGAUGAUGACGGUAC